AGCAGCCGCGGUAAUUCCAGCUCCAAUAGCGUAUAUUAAAGUUGUUGCAGUUAAAAAGCUCGUAGUUGAAUUUCGGGGUUAGUAGGUUGGUCAUGCCUCUGGUAUGUACUGGUCUCACUGAUUCCUCCUUCCUGAUGAGCCGUAAUGCCAUUAAUUUGGUGUUGCGGGGAAUUUGGACUGUUACUUUGAAAAAUUGAGUGUUUAAAGCAAGCUAACGCUUGAAUACAUUAGCAUGGAAUAAUGAAAUAGGACGUUCGAUCCUAUUUUGUUGGUUUCUAGGAUUGACGUAAUGAUUAAUAGGGAUAGUUGGGGGCAUUAGUAUUCAAUUGUCAGAGGUGAAAUUCUUGGAUUUAUUGAAGACUAACUACUGCGAAAGCAUUUGCCAAGGAUGUUUUCAUUAAUCAAGAACGAAAGUUAGGGGAUCGAAGACGAUCAGAUACCGUCGUAGUCUUAACCAUAAACUAUGCCGACUAGGGAUCGGAUGAUGUUAAUUUUUAAUGACUCAUUCGGCGCCUUAAC
rnacentral:misc_RNA from 1 species